UUAGCUAGGGGAGCCAGUUGGCUGAGAAAGUACGAAUAGUAUAUUACUGACCCUUAUAACCUGAUACGGAUAAUGCCGUCGAAGGGAAGCAGCAAAUUU
rnacentral:ncRNA from 1 species